GCGGCUACGUAUGCCAGCAUGCUCAAGUUCUGCCUACUAACAGCCAUUCUUAUUGCUGGAUCGAGGUCGGAAGAAUCCCACAAAGAAGACGCAAGUGCCCACAAGUACAACAUUCGCCUGGCCAACGGGACCAGCUUCGAAAUUACCACGCAUGGCUUUCAAGAGUUCUCAAAGUGCCUACAGCGUGGAGCAACAAAGGGCAACAACUCCGUAGAAAUUGUCAAGUUCAACAAG
rnacentral:lncRNA from 1 species